rnacentral:lncRNA from 1 species
CCCUCCCUCCCUCCCUCCCUCCCUCCCUCCCUCCCUCCCUCCCUCCCUCCCUCCCUCCCUCCCUCCCUCCCUCCCUCCCUCCCUCCCUCCCUCCCUCCCUCCCUCCCUCCCUCCCUCGCUCCGUCUGUGUCUGUCUGUCUGUCUGUCUGUCUCUCUCUCUCUCUCUCUCUCUCUCUCUCUCUCUCUCUCUCUCUCUCUCUCUAAUUUAGACUCUACUACACCUGAGGACAGCACUAGAGAACAAAUAACUACAGUUGAUAACACAACACAACUGACCACAGUUACCAACUCUACGACACCUGAGGCCAGCACUACAGAACAAAUGACCAAAGUUACCAGUAAGUUUCAUCAAGUUCUGGAGAACA